CCUACGGGGGGCAGCAGUCGAGAAUCAUUCACAAUGGGGGAAACCCUGAUGGUGCGACGCCGCGUGGGGGAAUGAAGGUCUUCGGACUGUAAACCCCUGUCAUGUGGGAGCAAAUUAAAAAGAUAGUACCACAAGAGGAAGAGACGGCUAACUCUGUGCCAGCAGCCGCGGUAAUACAGAGGUCUCAAGCGUUGUUCGGAAUCACUGGGCGUAAAGCGUGCGGAGGCUGUUUCGUAAGGCGUGUGUGAAAGGCGCGGGCUCAACCCGCGGACGGCACAGGAAACUGGGAGACUGGAGUACAGGAGGGGUAACCGGAAUUCUCGGUGUAGCAGUGAAAUGCGUAGAUAUCGGGAGGAACACUCGUGGCGAAGGCGGGUUCCUGGACAUUAACUGACGCUGAGGCACGAAGGCCAGGGGAGCGAAAGGGAUUAGAUACCCGAGUAGUC
rnacentral:rRNA from 1 species